rnacentral:rRNA from 1 species
AUGGAUGCAUGUGAUUGUAUCGAACCACUUUGGCAGGCCGAUGAUCUCCUUGUGAAGUAUCAGUACAUAUCUGACUUUUUUAUCGCACUUGCAUACUUCUCGAUCCCUUUGGAGCUCAUAUACUUUGUCAAGAAGUCAUCAUUCUUCCCUUACCGAUGGGUGCUCAUACAGUUUGGCGCCUUCAUUGUGCUUUGUGGGGCAACUCACCUGAUAAACUUGUGGACUUUCGCCACUUAUAGCAAGACUAUAGCGGUGGUAAUGACAGUGGCGAAAGCUGCGACAGCAGUGGUUUCAUGCAUAACGGCAUUGAUGCUUGUGCACAUAAUUCCUGAUCUGUUGAGUGUGAAGUUGCGAGAGAGGUAUCUGAAGGAUAAGGCUGAAGAGCUUGACAAAGAGAUGGGGAUUAUAAGAACACAGGAGGAGACAGGCAGACAUGUCCACAUGCUCACACAUGAGAUAAGGAGCACCCUUGACAGGCACACUAUUUUGAGAACUACGCUUGUUGAGUUGGGAAGGACUCUUGGGUUAGCUGAAUGUGCCCUGUGGAUGCCAUCCCGCUCUGGAACAGCCCUUCACCUGUCCCAUACAAUCCAUAACAGCGCUCCUAUUGGCUUAGUUGUUCCUAUCAAUCUUCCAGUUGUUUCAAAGGUUUUUAAUAGUAAUCGUGCAGAAAGCAUUCCACAUACUUCCCCAUUGGCUUCAAUAAAGGCAGACACAAGCAGGUAUGUGCCACCAGAGGUCGUAGCUGUCCGAGUUCCACUGCUGCACCUUACAAAUUUCGAAAUAAAUGAUUGGCCUGAGCUAUCUGCAAAAAGCUUCGCAGUAAUGGUUUUGAUGCUGCCUCCAGACAGUGCAAGAAAAUGGCGUACCCAUGAAUUGGAGCUUGUUGAAGUUGUUGCUGAUCAGGUGGCAGUUGCACUGUCUCAUGCUGCCAUUUUGGAAGAGUCCAUGAGGGCCCGUGAUCUACUAAUGGAGCAGAAUAUUGCCCUAGAUGCAGCACGUCGAGAGGCGGAAAUGGCUAUAUGUGCUCGUAAUGAUUUUCUUGCUGUGAUGAACCAUGAAAUGCGUACUCCUAUGAAAGCCAUUGUUUCUUUAUCCUCCCUCCUUCUGGAAACAACUCUUACGGCUGAACAACGCCUGAUGAUUGAGACUAUACUAAAGAGUAGCGAUUUUCUUGUAACUUUGACCAACGAUGUUUUGGAUAUUUCCAAGCUUGGGAAUGGGAGUCUUGAGCUGGAUAUUGCACCUUUCAACCUGCAUGCUGCCUUUACAGAUGUGGUUAAUUUGAUUAAGCCAGUGGCUGCAUGCAAAAGGCUCUCGGUAAUGGUUUCCUUGGCUCCAGAGUUGCCUUCCUGUGCAAUUGGUGAUCGCAAGCGAUUGAUGCAGAUAAUGCUAAAUGUUGCUGGCAACUCCAUUAAGUUCACAAAGGAGGGUCACAUUUCAAUUGCAGCUUCCAUAGCCAGGCCAGAUUCACUGAGGGACCCGUAUGCUUCUAACUUACAUCCAGUUCCCUCUGAUGGGUCUUUCUACUUGGUUGUUCAGGUAAAAGACACCGGCUGUGGAAUUGGACCAGAGGAUAUGGCUCACACCUUCAGAAAAUUCGCACACGGUGAGAAUGCAACAACGAAAUUGCACAACGGCAACGGCUUGGGUCUGGCCCUCUCCAGAAGAUUUGUUGGCCUGAUGCAAGGGGACAUCUGGCUCGAAAGUGAAGGUGUAGGGAAGGGAUGUACCGCCACGUUCUUUGUGAAACUCGGCACGCCCAAGAAGAAACCAAACGCAAACGCAAAUCCCCGGAGAAUGAUGGCGCCUCUGCAACCAAGCAACGGAGCUGGAGGCCACGGCGCUGAUGCUCUCAGUAUAUCGAUAAUGGACGGCGAUGCGCGGGCUCCUAGGGCCCGCUACCAGUCAAUUGCGUGA